GAUGAACGCUGGCGGCGUGCUUAACACAUGCAAGUCGAACGGAGAACCGUUAUUGAGAUCUUCGGAUGGAUUUAACGAUUCUUAGUGGCGGACGGGUGAGUAACGCGUGGAUAACCUGGCCCAUACAGGGGGAUAGCAGUUGGAAACGACUGAUAAUACCGCAUAAGCGCACGGUACCGCAUGGUACAGUGUGAAAAGUUCCGGCGGUAUGGGAUGGAUCCGCGUCUGAUUAGGCAGUUGGCGGGGUAACGGCCCACCAAACCGACGAUCAGUAGCCGGCCUGAGAGGGUGAACGGCCACAUUGGGACUGAGACACGGCCCAAACUCCUACGGGAGGCAGCAGUGGGGAAUAUUGCACAAUGGGGGAAACCCUGAUGCAGCGACGCCGCGUGAGCGAAGAAGUAAUCUCGGUAUGUAAAGCUCUAUCAGCAGGGAAG
rnacentral:rRNA from 1 species